rnacentral:lncRNA from 1 species
UGCAUUGCACAAUAUUCCACUUAAUUAGUCAGUUCUGUACUCUUUAAUCUACCAACACACAUUAUUCCUUCUAUUUUCUCCUCAGUUGGGUGUUCUCUUACUUUUCAUGUUUCCAGCUUGGUGAAUGUUUCUGUAGAAAGGUUUGGACUGAGCUAUGUUUCCUCCUAUCUCUCUUGGUCAAGUAAUACCACCUGUGUAAUUUCCCUGCUGUGUGUUAAUGCCUUAAUUUGCCGACUCUGUCUUCUUUUCUUCUGCAUCCAUCUUCCAUUUGUUCAUGAACUUCUGCCCUUCAAGACACAGAGAAUUUGUAGAACUAUUUCACUCCACGUAUCUGCAAAAAAAUAUGGAUUAGAACAGACGGAACCUGAACAAUGUGCCACCAAGGAAAAAAAAAAGCAGAUCAAAGAAUUUCAAGUUCUAAAAAUUAAAGCAGCUAUGCCUUUACUGCACGUGUAA